AAAUCACCCCCUAAGUUUUGCAGCUGUAGCAGUUUUGGCCCCCAAAGGCAAAAAAAUAAAUAAUAAUAACAUGUGGCACCUCACUUAGGGUGUCAUGUCAGCGUAGACCGAGUCAAAAUUGACAUUGAAGGCCAAAACCGCCACAUGUGCAAAACUUAGGGGGCGAUUU
rnacentral:pre_miRNA from 1 species